rnacentral:lncRNA from 1 species
CCAUGCCUUCUUUUUGUGUGUGAUGCAAAAAAAUGAGGUCCUGGUCCUGCAGGGGGAUAUUUUGAUGCCGGGGACUUUGGGCAACAGUUUUGGUGUCCAGUAAAGGAUGCUGUACGCAUGCGUAUGUGUGCGAUUGCUGCUGUAACUGCUGCCUGCUGCUGCUGUUGCUAAUGCUGUUGCUAAUGCUGUUGCUGAUGCUAAUGGCGGUGAGCAAAGGCUGCUGAUGCUAUUGUUGCCUCUGCUCUGCUGCAGAUCGAUUCCUGGAAGGAAUGUUUUCGUUGUCUGCUGCAGUAAAAAAGCGCCAGCGGCACGCCUUGAGGAUUCCCUUGAUGUCUUUUCAUCUAAAUCUGUUGACGAAGUCGGGAGUUAUUAGGUGCGUAAGAAGAUCCCAGAUAAAGGUUUAUGGCGCGAGAUUUGGAGAUUUAGCAGGAGGUCGUUAUUAAGCAGGAGACGUUUGUCUCAAGCACAGAGUAGUUGUGAGAGAGAGCUCGUGAGGGGUUCUAGCUCAACGCAGUUUGUUAGGUUUAGUUACAGUUAUUCUGGCUGUGCAGUUGAUGAAUGGCGAGGUAGGCAUAGGCUGGUGGACAAAAGCCCAGAUACAGAUGUUGUACCUUGGUUUACUAUGCGCGUG